UACGAAGGGUGCAAACGUUGCUCGGAAUUAUUGGGCGUAAAGCGCACGUAGGCGGCUUGGCAAGUCGGAUGUGAAAUCCCUCGGCUCAACCAAGGAAGUGCAUCCGAAACUGCCGAGCUUGAGUACUUAAGAGGAUCGCGGAAUUCCCGGUGUAGAGGUGAAAUUCGUAGAUAUCGGGAGGAACACCAGUGGCGAAGGCGGCGAUCUGGGAAGAUACUGACGCUGAGGUGCGAAAGCGCGGGGAGCAAACAGG
rnacentral:rRNA from 1 species